UGGGGAAUUUUGGACAAUGGGCGAAAGCCUGAUCCAGCCAUGCCGCGUGCAGGAUGAAGGCCUUCGGGUUGUAAAUCUUGUUUGNACGGAACGAAAAGCCUCUUUCUAAUAAAGAGGGGGUCAUGACGGUACCGUAAGAAUAAGCACCGGCUAACUACGUGCCAGCAGCCGCGGUAAUACGUAGGGUGCAAGCGUUAAUCGGAAUUACUGGGCGUAAAGCGUGCGCAGGCGGUUUUGUAAGACAGAGGUGAAAUCCCCGGGCUCAACCUGGGAACUGCCUUUGUGACUGCAAGGCUGGAGUGCGGCAGAGGGGGAUGGAAUUCCGCGUGUAGCAGUGAAAUGCGUAGAUAUGCGGAGGAACACCGAUGGCGAAGGCAAUCCCCCUGGGGCCUGCACUGACGCUCAUGCACGAAAGCGUGGGGAGCAAACAGGAUUAGAUACCCUGGUAGUCCACGCCCCUAAACGAUGUCAACUGGUUGUUGGGUCUUCACUGACUCAGUAACGAAGCUAACGCGUGAAGUUGACCGCCUGGGGAGUACGGCCGCAAGGUUGAAACUCAAAUGAAUUACGGGG
rnacentral:rRNA from 1 species